rnacentral:rRNA from 1 species
GAUGAACGCUGGCGGCGUGCCUAAUACAUGCAAGUCGAGCGAACAGAUGAGUAGCUUGCUCCUCUGACGUUAGCGGCGGAAGGGAGAGUAACACGUGGAUAACCUACCUAUAAGACUGGGAUAACUUCCGGAAACCGGAGCUAAUACCGGAUAAUAUAUUGAACCGCAUGGUUCAAUAGUGAAAGACGGUUUUGCUGUCACUUAUAGAUGUAUCCGCGCCGCAUUAGCUAGUUGGUAAGGUAACGGCUUACGAAGGCAACGAUGCGUAGCCGACCUGAGAGGGUGAUCGGCCACACUGGAACUGAGACACGGUCCAGACUCCUACGGGAGGCAGCGGUAGGGAAUCUUCCGCGAUGGGCGAAAGCCUGACGGAGCAGCGCAGCGUGAGUGAUGAAGGUCUUCGGAUCGUAAAACUCUGUUAUUAGUGAAGACCAAAUGUGUAAGUAACUAUGCACGUCUUGACGGUACCUAAUCAGAAAGCCACGGCUAACUACGUG